rnacentral:rRNA from 1 species
UAAGCCUGCGAAGGUGUGCUGUGAGGCAUGCUGGAGGUAUCAGAAGUGCGAAUGCUGACAUAAGUAACGAUAAAGCGGGUGAAAAGCCCGCUCGCCGGAAGACCAAGGGUUCCUGUCCAACGUUAAUCGGGGCAGGGUGAGUCGACCCCUAAGGCGAGGCCGAAAGGCGUAGUCGAUGGGAAACAGGUUAAUAUUCCUGUACUUGGUGUUACUGCGAAGGGGGGACGGAGAAGGCUAUGUUAGCCGGGCGACGGUUGUCCCGGUUUAAGCAUGUAGGCUGGUUAUCCAGGCAAAUCCGGAUAAUCAAGGCUGAGGUGUGAUGACGAGGCACUACGGUGCUGAAGUAACAAAUGCCCUGCUUCCAGGAAAAGCCUCUAA